AUACAGAGGGUGCGAGCGUUAAUCGGAAUUACUGGGCGUAAAGCGCGCGUAGGCGGUCUAUUAAGUCAGAUGUGAAAUCCCAGGGCUCAACCUUGGAACUGCAUCUGAUACUGGUAGACUUGAGUUUUGGAGAGGGAAGUAGAAUUUCAGGUGUAGCGGUGAAAUGCAUAGAGAUCUGAAGGAAUACCAGUGGCGAAGGCGACUUCCUGGCCAAAAACUGACGCUGAGGUGCGAAAGCGUGGGUAGCAAACAGGAUUAGAUACCCUAGUAGUCC
rnacentral:rRNA from 1 species